AACGAACGUUGGCGGCGCGCCUAACACAUGCAAGUCGCACGAGAAAGGGGAGCAAUCCCCGGUACAGUGGCGCACGGGUGAGUAACACGUGGAUAAUCUUCCCUCGAGCGGGGGAUAACCUUCCGAAAGGAGGGCUAAUACCGCAUAAGACUACAGCCAGUUCGCUGGCAGCAGUCAAAGCUGGCCUCUUCACGAAAGCUAGCACUUGAGGAUGAGU
rnacentral:rRNA from 1 species